AGUCGAACGAAUCCAUGGUGUAGCAAUACACCGGAAGAUUUAGUGGCGAACGGGUGAGGAUCACGUGAGAAACGUGCCCCAGACUCUGGGAUAACAAUUGGAAACGAUUGCUAAUACCGGAUGACGUCGGAGAAUCGCAUGAUUCACUGACGAAAGAUAUUUCGGUUUGGGAGCGUCUCGCGGCCUAUCAGCUUGUUGGUGGGGUAAUGGCCUACCAAGGCAACGACGGGUAGCUGGUCUGAGAGGAUGAUCAGCCACACUGGGACUGAGACACGGCCCAGACUCCUACGGGAGGCAGCAGUGGGGAAUCUUGCGCAAUGGGCGAAAGCCUGACGCAGCAACGCCGCGUGCGGGAUGAAGGCCUUCGGGCUGUAAACCGCUUUCAGCAGGAACGAAAAUGACGGUACCUGCAGAAGAAGGGGCGGCCAACUACGUGCCAGCAGCCGCGGUGACACGUAGGCUCCAAGCGUUGUCCGGAUUUAUUGGGCGUAAAGAGCUCGUAGGCGGUUGAGUAAGUCGGGUGUGAAAACUCUGGACUUAACCCGGAGACGCCAUCCGAUACUGCUCUGACUAGAGUUCAGGAGGGGAGUGGGGAAUUCCUAGUGUAGCGGUGAAAU
rnacentral:rRNA from 1 species